CCUACGGGAGGCAGCAGUGGGGAAUAUUGCACAAUGGGCGCAAGCCUGAUGCAGCCAUGCCGCGUGUGUGAAGAAGGCCUUCGGGUUGUAAAGCACUUUCAGCGGGGAGGAAGGCGUUAAGGUUAAUAACCUUGGCGAUUGACGUUACCCGCAGAAGAAGCACCGGCUAACUCCGGGCCAGCAGCCGCGGUAAUACGGAGGGUGCAAGCGUUAAUCGGAAUUACUGGGCGUAAAGCGCACGCAGGCGGUCUGUCAAGUCGGAUGUGAAAUCCCCGGGCUCAACCUGGGAACUGCAUUCGAAACUGGCAGGCUAGAGUCUUGUAGAGGGGGGUAGAAUUCCAGGUGUAGCGGUGAAAUUCGUAGAGAUCUGGAGGAAUACCGGUGGCGAAGGCGGCCCCCUGGACAAAUACUGACGCUCAGGUGCGAAAGCGUGGGGAGCAAACCGGAUUAGAUACCCUAGUAGUC
rnacentral:rRNA from 1 species